rnacentral:lncRNA from 1 species
CUACAAUGAUUAAAAAAAAAAAUGUCAAAGAGGCGAGCUAUGUUUUGUUCAAUCUUAUCCUCUCUGUUGUUGAGAAAUUGGUGGAACUGGGCUUUGUAUGCCCUUGCGUGUACAAAAGAAACAUUGUUUCAUGCUGUACUUAUGUUUUUGGGCCUGGUUUUACAAUAUUUGCCCUAACAUAUGUUGUCCUGAAGCUGGACAAUAAGUGUAAACGGUUUGGUUACUCUUUUAUUUUACUUUGUACUUGGGUGGCCUUCGUCCUGCUUGAUGGCAGAUAUGUAGCCUGUGCAUCUUCAUACUGGGAAGGAAUUUACACUAAUGAUUCGAUUCCUUGGUGUAAGCCAGUGGGAAAUAGAUCUGAACUUGCAAAACGCCGUCUUGAAACACAGGAGUUCUUUUAUAAAUCUGAGGUUUUUGGAUUCGUCCUGAUAAUAGCAGUUUUUCUCUUGUUAACAUUGCUGUACUGCAAGGGUGGUCAAGGCCCUAAGGCACAGGCACAACAGGAAACACAUUUGGAACUUUUGCAAUACCGACUUAAAAAUGUACCUGUCAGCGAUCUACUGGAAAUGACAACAAAUGAAAAUGAAGUUUAAAGAACAGUGUUGACUCCUUGUUUGGGUAGUUGUUUGAAAAAUGCAUUAAAAUGAAAGUAAAACAGUGUAAUUCAAAUGAAAUGGCAGACUGUGAUAUGGAAUAGAUUUUAGUUCAAGUGGUAAACAUAUUAGAGUUGUUCAGAAUAUAUAAUUCCAGCACUUAUCUGUAUAGUACGUCUUUAAUUUUUGCAAAUAUGAAUAUUUUACAUUUUAUAUUAAUAGGACGGUGUCUGCGUGUCCUAUUAAUUUGCUACAUUAUUAUAUAAGACUUUUUAGCGGUGCAUAUAAUUACAGGUAUGAUAUUAAAAUAUAAAGUAAAAAUAAUGACUAUGAUACAAUGUUUUCUUUUUGACAUAAAAAGAAUCAGACAGUUUGAGUGGUCCAGCAGGCUAAGCGAUGCCACUAUGUUCAGUAGAUCGCUGUUCGAAUUCUAUUUAUGUAGCUUGCCAUCAGCUACCGGAGCCCUGACAAAGCACAAUUGGCCUUGCUCUCUCUGGGUGGGUAGAUGGCGCUCUCUCCCCACAUCACUCCAAAGGGUGAUGUUGAUCAGCACAAGGCAUCUGUGAGCUGAUGUAUCGGAACAGGGUCGCUGCGCUUUGCUCUGAGCGCACUGGCUACUUGACAAUGCUGCAUUAGUUUGUUGGAGGAGGCAUUUGCUAGUCUUCACCCUUCUGGUGUUUGGGCAUUACUAAUGAUAGGGUGAGUCCAAAGGAGUGGGUUGGGUUGGGUAAUUGGUUGUGUAAAUUGGGGAGAAAAUGUGAUAAAAAUUAGAAAGAAAAAUGCAUAGCACUGACUUCCAUUCAUAUUUAAGAAUGUUUUUUCACAUUCGGUAAAGUUGAAAAUAUGGAGAUUUUGCUGACAAUUACAUGCAUUGCUCCUCAGUUUA